rnacentral:lncRNA from 10 species
CAGUCCGUUUUCCUGGUGCACCUGCUCUCCUUUCCUCCACCUUCUGCUGUCUCUGACCCUCCUCGGUGAGGACCUCACUUCUUACAUUACUGCAGAGCCAGAAACAAUCAGAUGGAAACUGCAACACUCAACCUUAUCCUCCCCAGAUCUACCCUGCAUGUUCCUGCUCUAACCUCUCCUCUUAUUUCUGCUGAGUGAAGCUGGUCUACCUGCAGACAGCCC